rnacentral:rRNA from 1 species
AACGAACGCUGGCGGCAGGCUUAACACAUGCAAGUCGAACGGGUGUAGCAAUACAUCAGUGGCAGACGGGUGAGUAACACGUGGGAACCUUCCUAGGGGGUACGGAACAACUCAGGGAAACUUGAGCUAAUACCGUAUACGUCCGUAAGGAGAAAGAUUUAUCGCCCUUAGACGGGCCCGCGUCGGAUUAGGUAGUUGGUGGGUAACGGCCUACCAAGCCUACGAUCCGUAGCUGAUCUGAGAGGAUGAUCAGCCACACUGGGACUGAGACACGGCCCAGACUCCUACGGGAGGCAGCAGUGGGGAAUCUUGGACAAUGGGCGCAAGCCUGAUCCAGCCAUGCCGCGUGAGUGAAGAAGGCCUUAGGGUUGUAAAGCUCUUUUAC